AUGGGCAACGAGGCCAGCCUGGAGGGCGGCGCUGGCGAAGGGCCGCUGCCUCCCGGAGGCUCUGGCCCGGGUCCCGGCCCCGGAGCUGGGAAGCCGCCUUCAGCACUAGCCGGCGGCGGACAGCUCCCUGCUGCGGGCGCUGCGCGGCCGCCUGCGGGACCCCCGCUCCCUGGUCUGGGCUCUGGCCCUGGACCCGGACCCGGACCAGGCCCUGGACCCGGCCCAGGCCCGAGCAGCAUUUCCCGGAGACUGGAUCCCAAGGAGACCCUCGGUAGCCAGAGAGCAGCUUCCCCAACCCCAAGGCAAGCUUCUGCUACUGCUUCUGGCCGUGAGAGCCCCCGAGAGACAAGGGCCCAAGGCCCAGCAGGCCAGGAGGCUGAUGGUCCUCGCAGGACAUUGCAGGUAGACAGCAGGACGCAAAAAUCAGGACGGUCUCCCUCAGUGUCACCGGACAGAGGCAGCACCCCUACAUCACCCUAUUCCGUCCCCCAGAUCGCUCCCCUUCCCAGCAGCACCCUGUGUCCCAUAUGCAAGACCUCGGACCUCACAUCAACCUCCAGCCAGCCAAACUUCAACACUUGCACCCAGUGUCACAACAAGGUCUGCAACCAGUGUGGGUUCAACCCCAAUCCUCAUCUCACCCAGGUGAAGGAGUGGCUCUGUCUGAACUGUCAGAUGCAGAGGGCUCUGGGAAUGGACAUGACCACUGCGCCUCGUUCCAAGAGCCAGCAGCAGCUACACUCCCCAGCCCUGUCUCCUUCCCACUCCCCAGCCAAACAGCCUCUGGGGAAACCAGAGCAAGAGAGAUCUCGGGGCCCAGGGGGACCACAGCCGGGCCCCCGCCAGGCUGAGACAGCCAGGGCCACCUCAGUGCCGGGGCCUGCCCAGGCAGCUGCCCCUCCAGAAGUGGGAAGAGUGUCUCCUCAACCCCCUCUCUCCACCAAGCCUUCCACAGCUGAGCCCAGGCCACCUGCAGGAGAGGCCCUGGGCAAAAGUGCCACCACAGUGCCCUCUGGGCUUGGUGCUGGUGAGCAGACCCAGGAGGGCCUCACCGGGAAGCUCUUCGGCCUCGGCGCAUCACUGCUCACCCAGGCAAGCACCCUCAUGUCCGCGCAGCCCGACCCUGAUGCCCAGAGCCAGCCUUCCCCCAGCAAGGGGCCGCCCAAGAUUGUCUUCAGUGAUGCCAGCAAGGAGGCUGGCCCAAGACCCCCAGGCUCAGGGCCUGGACCUGGGCCAAUACCUGGAGCCAAAACGGAGCCCGGGGCCAGAACAGGUCCUGGGUCGGGGCCUGGAGCCCUAGCAAAAACUGGAGGGACGACCAGUCCAAAGCAUGGCAGAGGAGACCAUCAGGCGGCACCCAAGGCUGCUGCCAAGCCAAAGACCACGCCGAAGGAAAGGGCCACCUGCCCACUGUGCCAAGCCGAGCUGAACGUGGGCAGCAAGGGCCCAGCCAACUAUAACACGUGCACCACCUGCAAGCUCCAGGUGUGCAACCUGUGCGGCUUCAAUCCAACGCCCCACCUGGUGGAGAAAUCCGAGUGGCUCUGUCUGAACUGCCAAACCAAGAGGCUGCUGGAGGGUGGCCUGGGAGAGCCGACCCCCCUGCCACUGCCCACCUCGCAGCAGCCUCCUGCAGGGGGUCCUCACCGUGCAGCUGGUGCGGCCCCUACCAAGCAGAAAGGACCACAGGGGCUGGGCCAGCCAUCAGGCCCCCUGCCUGCCAAGGCCAGUCCCCUGCCCUCAAAGGCCAGCCCCCAGGCCAAGCCUCUCAGGGCUUCUGAACCCAGCAAGACCCCAAGCAGUGCCCAGGAAAAGAAAACAGGAGCCCCUGCUAAAACUGAGCCUGUGCCGAAGCCACCGCCAGAGACUACUGUGCCUCCUGGAACUCCUAAAGCAAAGAGCGGCCUGAGAAAGACCGAACCUGCUACCCCUGUGGCCAAGUCAGUGCCAGAAGCUCCCAAGGGUGGGGAGGCAGAGGAACCAGUCGGCAAGCCUUACACUCAGGACCUGUCUCGAAGCCCACAGAGCCUCAGUGACACAGGCUACUCCUCCGACGGCGUCUCCAGCUCCCAGAGUGAAAUCACAGGGGUUGUGCAGCAGGAAGUGGAGCAGCUUGACAGUGCGGGAGUGACAGGACCACGCCCGCCCAGCCCCUCGGAGCUCCACAAGGUGGGCAGCAGCAUGCGGCCUUUGCUGGAGUCCCAGGCUGUGGCCCCCAGCGGUGAGCGGAGCAAGCCACCCGGCAGUACUGUGGAGGAGCAGAAGCGGAGACCCCACUCCUUGUCCAUCAUGCCCGAGGCCUAUGACUCCGAUGAGGAGCUGGGAGACAUCCUGGAGGAAGAGGAAGACUCUCUGGAGUGGGGGCGCCAGAGGGAACAGCGGGACACAGCUGAAUCUUCGGACGACUUCAGCAGCCAGUUGAGACACGACUACGUGGAAGACAGCAGCGAGGGCGGCCUGUCCCCUCUGCCACCCCAGCCCCCGGCCCGGGCAGAACUGGCCGACGAAGAGUUCAUGCGACGGCAGAUCCUGGAGAUGAGUGCAGAAGAGGACAACCUGGAGGAAGAUGAUACUGCCGUCCCGGGGCGGGGUCCGGCUAAACCGAAGGGCGGCAGCAGGCCCAGGCCCGAGCCCAGCCAAGAGCCCGCAGCGCUGCCCAAGAGGCGCCUGCCCCACAAUGCCACCACGGGCUACGAGGAGCUCCUCUCCGACGGAGUCCCACCCGAGGCCACCGAGGGCAGCGGGGCCCUGCAGGGGGGCCUCCGUCGCUUCAAGACCAUCGAGCUCAACAGCACGGGCAGCUAUGGCCAUGAGCUCGACCUGGGCCAAGGCCCUGACCCCGGCCUGGACCGCGAGCCCGAGCUGGAGAUGGAGAGCCUGACGGGCUCCCCCGAGGACCGCUCCCGCGGGGAGCACUCCUCCACGCUGCCCGCCUCCACGCCCAGCUACACCUCGGGCACCUCGCCCACGUCCCUGUCGUCGCUGGAAGAGGACAGCGACAGCAGCCCCAGCCGCCGGCAGAGGCUGGAAGAGGCAAAGCAGCAGCGCAAGGCCCGGCACCGCUCCCACGGGCCCCUGCUGCCCACCAUCGAGGACUCCUCGGAGGAGGAAGAGCUGCGCGAGGAGGAGGAGCUGCUGCGCGAGCAGGAGAAGAUGCGCGAGGUGGAGCAGCAGCGCAUCCGCAGCACGGCGCGCAAGACGCGGCGGGACAAGGAGGAGCUGCGCGCGCAGCGGCGGCGCGAGCGCUCCAAGACGCCGCCCAGCAACCUGUCGCCCAUCGAGGACGCCUCGCCCACCGAGGAGCUGCGGCAGGCGGCCGAGAUGGAGGAGCUGCAUCGCUCCUCCUGCUCGGAGUACUCGCCCUCGCCCUCCCUCGACUCGGAGGCCGAAGCCCCGGACGGCGGCGGACCCUCGCGGCUCUACAAAUCGGGCAGCGAGUACAACCUGCCCACCUUCAUGUCCCUCUACUCCCCCACCGAGGCGCCCUCGGGCAGCUCCCCGGCCCCCAGCUCCGGACGGCCCCUUAAGAGUGCCGAGGAGGCCUACGAGGAGAUGAUGAGGAAAGCUGAGCUGCUCCAGCGACAGCAGGGCCCAGCGGCGGGGACCCAGGGCCCUCAUGGGGGACCCUCUGCGCUCGCAGGCCCCAGGGCCCAGGGCACCCCGGGCUAUCAAGACGCCCCAGACUACGGCAGGGCCCCGCAGCCUGUCCCCGACGGCGUGCCCGCUGGCCUGGGCGCGGCCGUGUACGAGGAGAUCCUGCAGACCUCGCAGAGCAUAGCCCGCAUGCGGCAGGCCUCUUCGCGGGACCUGGCCUUCGCCGAGGACAAGAAGAAGGAGAAGCAGUUUCUGAACGCAGACAGUGCCUACAUGGACCCCAUGAAGCAAAAUGGUGGCCCACUUACCCCCGGCACCAGCCCCACUCAGCUCGCUGCUCCUGUAUCUUUUUCCACCACCGCGUCCUCAGACAGCAGCGGGGGCCGAGUGAUUCCCGACGUCCGGGUCACGCAGCAUUUUGCAAAGGAGCCUCAGGACCCCCUCAAGUUGCACAGCUCUCCCGCCUCCCCCAGUUUUGCCUCCAAGGAGGUAGGCGUGGCCCCCCAGGGUCCUGGGACUCCGGCUGUUACAGCGGGGGCCCCUUGCCCGGCCAGCCUUCCACGAGGGUAUAUGACUCCCGCCUCCCCGGCUGGCUCUGAGCGCAGCCCGUCGCCAUCUUCCAUAGUCCACAGCUAUGGACAGACCCCGACCACUGCUAACUAUGGCUCCCAAACUGAAGAGCUGCCCCAGACUCCCAGUGGUCCUGUUGCAGGUGGACGGGCCAUCAGAGAGAGGCCUGUGAGUGGGAGUGAUGGUGAUGUUGGUGCUCCGCAGCCUUCCCGGGCAUAUUCUUACUUUGCAGGGUCUAGCCCUCCUCUCUCCCCAUCAACUCCCUCAGAGGGCCCCACAUUCUCCCCAGUCAAGCUGGGCUCAAGGGCCACAGCCGAGUUCUCUACACAGACACCAAGUCUAACACCUGCCUCGGAUAUGCCACGGAGCCCUAGCGCCCCUACAGUAGCCCAGGGCACACAAACACCACACCGGCCCAGCACACCUCGCCUGGUGUGGCAGCAGUCUUCUCAAGAGGCUCCCAUUAUGGUCAUCACGAUAGCCUCAGAUGCCUCCAGCCAGACCAGGAUGGUCCAUGCCAGUGCCUCCACCUCCCCAUUGUGCUCACCUACGGACAGCCAGCCCACCAGCCACAGCUACAGCCAGACAACACCUCCAAGUGUUUCCCAACUGUCCUCAGAGCCACCGGGGCCUUCUGGUUUCCCUCGGGCACCCAGUGCUGGUACAGACGGUCCAUUGGCACUAUACAGCUGGGGUGCCCUUCCUGCUGAAAACAUCUCCUUGUGCCGCAUCUCCUCUGUCCCUGGAACUUCUAGAGUUGAGCCAGGCCCCAGGCCCCCUGGCAGUGCAGUGGUGGACCUUCGCACAGCUGUCAAACCUACACCUAUCAUCCUUACUGACCAAGGGAUGGACCUGACCUCUCUUGCUGUGGAAGCAAGGAAGUACGGUCUUGCCCUGGAUCCAAUCCCAGGACGUCAGUCAACUGCUGUGCAGCCACUGGUCAUCAACCUCAAUGCCCAAGAGCAGACCCACACUUUCCUGGCCACCGCCACCACCGUGAGCAUCACCAUGGCCUCGUCUGUACUCAUGGCUCAGCAGAAGCAGCCUGUGGUCUACGGAGACCCCUUUCAGAGCCGCCUGGACUUUGGCCAGGGUUCAGGUAGCCCUGUGUGCCUCUCCCAGGUCAAGCAAGUAGAACAGGCUGUCCAGACAGCCCCAUACCGAGGUGGGCCCCGGGGAAGGCCCAGGGAGGCCAAGUUCGCCAGGUAUAAUCUUCCCAACCAGGUAACACCUCUGGCCAGAAGGGACAUUUUGAUCACUCAGAUGGGCACUGCCCAGAGUGUCAGUCUCAAGCCAGGACCAGUGCCAGAGCCUGGGGCUGAAGCUCACCGGGCCACUCCUGCAGAGCUUCGGUCACAUGCUCUGCCAGGUGCCAGGAAGCCACACACAGUGGUGGUACAGAUGGGAGAGGGCACUGCAGGCACAGUGACUACACUGCUCCCAGAAGAGCCAGGGAGUGCCCUGGACCUUACUGGGAUGAGGCCUGAGAGCCAGCUGGCAUGCUGCGACAUGGUCUACAAGUUCCCCUUUGGCAGUAGCUGCACUGGUACCUUCCAUCCUACCCCCAGUGCACCUGAGAAGAGUGUGGCAGAUGCUGCCCCACUUGGCCAAAGCAGUGGCCCUUUCUAUAGUCCCAGAGACCCUGAGCCCCCUGAGCCCCUCACCUACCGGGCCCAGGGGGUAGUGGGGCCCGGGCCUCAUGAGGAGCAGCGGCCCUACCCACAGGGCCUCCCUGGCAGGCUAUACUCCUCCAUGUCUGACACCAACUUGGCUGAAGCCGGCCUCAACUACCAUGCCCACAGGCUUGGGCAGCUCUUGCAGGGCCCUGGACGAGACUCAGCAGUGGACCUCAGCUCGCUGAAACACUCCUACAGCCUAGGCUUUGCCGAUGGACGCUACCUAGGGCAGGGCCUGCAGUAUGGCUCGUUCACGGACCUGCGUCAUCCCACGGACCUUUUGGCUCACCCGCUUCCCAUGCGGCGCUAUAGCUCAGUGUCGAACAUCUACUCAGACCACAGGUAUGGCCCACGAGGAGAUGCAGUGGGCUUCCAGGAGGCCAGCCUGGCCCAGUACAGUGCCACCACGGCCCGAGAGAUCAGCCGCAUGUGUGCCGCCCUCAACUCCAUGGACCAGUAUGGCGGGCGGCAUGGCGGUGGAGGUGGGGCACCUGACCUUAUGCAGUACCAGCCCCAGCCCGGGCCUGGGCUCAGUGCUCCACAGGCUCUGGCUCCCCUCAGACCUGGCCUCCUUGGUAACCCCACUUUCCCGGAGGGCCAACCGAGCCCCGGGAACCUAGCUCAGUAUGGACCUGCAGCCAGCCAGGGGACAACGGUCAGACAGCUACUGCCCUCCACGGCCACAGUGCGUGCUGCUGACGGCAUGAUCUACUCAACUAUCAACACUCCAAUUGCUGCAACCCUUCCCAUCACCACCCAGCCCGCCUCAGUACUGCGGCCUAUGGUGCGUGGAGGCAUGUACAGGCCUUACGCAUCUGGCGGAGUCACAGCCGUGCCACUCGCCAGCCUGACACGUGUGCCCAUGAUUGCUCCUCGGGUACCUCUUGGGCCAGCAGGGCUAUACCGAUAUCCUGCCCCAAGUAGGUUCCCCAUUGCUUCUAGUGUCCCGCCAGCUGAAGGACCUGUCUACCUAGGAAAGCCUGCUACUGCCAAGGCCCCAGGGGCAGGGGGCCCGCCAAGGCCAGAGCCACCAGCAGGAGUGGCCCGGGAAGAACCUCUUCCCACAACUGCCCCUGCUGCCGUCAAGGAGGCUCCAGUUGCCCCCACCCCUGCCCCUGGCGCCCCACCCGGCCAGAAGCCACCAGGAGAUGCUGUUGCUGGGGGUGGCGGUGGGGUCCUGAGCCGACCCGGGAUUGAGAAGGAGGAAGGCUCUCAGGAGGAGCGGCAGCGGAAGCAGCAGGAGCAGCUGCUGCAGCUGGAGAGGGAACGGGUGGAGUUGGAGAAGCUGCGACAGCAGCGGCUGCAGGAGGAGCUGGAGCGGGAGAGGGUGGAGCUGCAGAGACACCGCGAGGAAGAGCAGCUGUUGGUGCAGCGGGAGUUGCAGGAACUGCAGACCAUCAAGCACCAUGUGCUGCAGCAGCAGCAAGAAGAACGCCAGGCUCAGUUCGCACUGCAGCGGGAACAGCUGGCGCAGCAGCGGCUACAGCUGGAGCAGAUCCAGCAGUUACAGCAACAGCUGCAGCAGCAGCUAGAGGAACAGAAGCAGCGGCAAAAAGCCACCUUCCCUGUGGCCUGUGAGGCCCCGGGCCGGGUGCCGCCCCCGGCCGCUAUGGAGCUGGCUCAGAAUGGCCAGUACUGGCCACCCCUGACUCACACAGCCUUCAUUGCCGUGGCAGGGACUGAGGGGCCUGGGCAGCCUCGUGAGCCCGUGCUGCACCGGGGCCUUCCCAGUUCUGCCUCCGACAUGUCCCUGCAGACCGAGGAGCACUGGGAAGCAGGCCGCGGUGGCAUCAAGAAGCGUCAUUCCAUGCCACGCCUGAGGGAUGCCUGUGAGCAGGAGUCGGGGCCCGAGCCCUGCACGGUGAAAAGAAUCGCAGACAGCAGCGUGCAGACAGACGAUGAGGACGGCGAGGGCCGCUACCUCAUGACCCGGAGGCGCCGGACACGGCGCAGCGCUGACUGCAGCGUGCAGACUGACGACGAGGAUAACGCUGAGUGGGAGCAGCCGGUGCGCCGUCGCAGGUCCCGUCUCUCCCGUCACUCCGACUCGAGUUCCGACAGCAAGCACGAUGCCACUGCCUCACCAUCCACUGCCGCCGCCUCCGCUGCCGCUGCUGCCAGGGCCAUGAGCAGUGUGGGCAUCCAGACCAUCAGCGACUGCUCCGUGCAGACGGAACCCGACCAGCUGCCCAGAGUCUCUCCAGCUAUCCACAUCACAGCCGCCACUGACCCGAAGGUGGAGAUCGUUAGGUACAUAUCCGCACCGGAGAAGACUGGCCGUGGGGAGAGCCUGGCCUGCCAGACCGAGCCAGAUGGGCAGGCCCAAGGUGUGGCUGGGCCGCAGCUUGUAGGGCCAACUGCCAUCAGCCCCUACCUGCCUGGCAUUCAGAUCGUCACCCCGGGGCCCCUGGGCAGAUUUGAAAAAAAGAAGCCUGACCCUCUGGAAAUUGGAUACCAGGCCCACCUGCCUGCCGAGUCCCUCUCCCAGCUUGUGAGCCGUCAGCCUCCUAAGUCCCCCCAGGUCCUCUACUCACCAGUCUCACCUCUGUCCCCACACCGGCUCCUGGACACCUCCUUUGCUUCCAGUGAGAGGCUGAACAAGGCUCACGUGAGCCCCCAGAAGCACUUCACCACUGACAGCGCACUUCGCCAGCAGACUCUGCCUCGGCCCAUGAAGACCCUGCAGCGGUCCUUGUCUGACCCUAAGCCCCUCAGCCCUACCGCCGAGGAUUCUGCCAAAGAGAGAUUCUCCCUCUACCAGCACCAGGGGGGACUAGGUAGCCAGGUGUCGGCGCUGCCACCCAAUGGCCUCGUCCGCAAGGUGAAGCGGACACUGCCCAGCCCGCCUCCAGAGGAGGCUCACCUUCCCCUGGCUGGCCAAGCCCCCUCUCAGCUGUAUGCAGCCAGUCUGCUGCAGCGAGGGCUGCAGGGGUCCACCACCGUCCCUGCUACCAAGGCCAGCCUACUCCGGGAGCUGGACCGGGACCUGCGGCUGGUGGAACACGAGUCCACCAAGCUGCGCAAGAAGCAGGCGGAGCUGGACGAGGAGGAGAAGGAGAUCGAUGCCAAGCUCAAGUACCUAGAGCUGGGCAUCACCCAGCGCAAAGAGUCUUUGGCCAAAGACCGGGGUGGCCGUGAGUACCCACCUUUACGUGGCCUUGGUGAGCAUCGAGACUAUCUGUCAGACAGUGAGCUCAACCAGCUGCGGCUCCAGGGUUGUGCCACACCUGCUGCCCAAUAUGUGGACUUCCCCGCCACUGCUGCUGUGCCUGCCACCCCCUCUGCUCCCACUGCCUACCAGCAGCCCCGGUUCCCGCCGCCGGCCCCACAAUACACUGUCAGCAGUAGUGGGCCAACUCAGAAUGGAUUUCCAGCCCACCAGGCACCCACCUAUGCUGGCCCCAGCACGUAUCCAGCACCUGCCUUUCCUCCUGGCACCAGUUACCCAGCUGAGCCUGCCCUGCCAAACCAACAGUCUUUCCAAUCCACAGGCCACUAUGCAGCCCAAACACCCAUGCCAACCACACAGAGCACCCUUUAUCCAGUUCAAGCUGACAGUCGUGCCCCUUACCAGAAGCCACGUCAGACAUCGCUAGCUGACUUGGAGCAGAAGGUCCCAACCAACUAUGAGGUGAUUGCCAGCCCAGGCGUGACCAUGUCUUCAGCCUCCUCUGAAACCAGCUACAGUGGUCCAGCAGUGAGUAGCAGCUAUGAGCAGGGCAAGGCUCCCGAACCUCCUCGGAGCAGUGACCGGAGCAGUGUGAGCCACAGCCCAGCCCCCACCUACCCUGCUGACUCCCACUAUACCAGUCUGGAGCAGAACGUUCCUCGGAACUAUGUGAUGAUUGAUGACAUCAGCGAGCUGACCAAGGACAGCGCCCCCGCUGCCCCUGAUAGCCAGCGGCUGGAGUCUUUGGGGCCGGGCAGCAGUGGACGCCCUGGGAAAGAGCCUGCAGAGCCAGGCAUGCAUGAGGGGUCCACACUGCCCUGCUGCUAUGGCAGAGGGGAGGAAGAAUCAGAGGAGGACUCCUACGACCCCCGAAUGAAGGCUGGCCAUCACCGAAGCAUGGAGGGCAAUGGCCGACCAGCCAGCAGCCACUAUUACAGUGAUAGCGACUACAGACAUGGGGCCCGAGCAGAAAAGUACGGUCCAGGGCCCGUGGGUCCCAAGCAUCCUUCCAAGAGCCUGGCCCCAGCUGCCAUCUCCUCAAAGCGCAGUAAGCACCGGAAGCAAGGCAUAGAACAAAAGAUCUCCAAGUUCUCACCUAUCGAAGAGGCUAAAGAUGUGGAGUCAGACCUAGCCUCCUACCCGCCACCCGCCGUCAGCAGCAGCCUGGCCUCUCGGGGCAGGAAGUUCCAGGAUGAAAUCACCUAUGGGCUCAAGAAGAACGUGUAUGAGCAGCAGAGAUACUAUGGCUUGUCCAGCCGGGAGGCGGCCGAGGAGGACGACCGCAUGUAUGGCGGGAGCGGCCGGUCCAGGGUGUCAUCUGCAUACAGUGGGGAGAAGCUAUCGAGCCACGAGUUCAGUAGCCGAAGCAAAGGGUAUGAACGGGAACGGGAGGCUGUGGAGCGCCUCCAAAAAGCAGGCCCCAAGCCUUCGUCCCUGAGCAUGACCCAUGGCCGGGCCCGGCCCCCCAUGAGAAGCCAGGCCUCUGAAGAGGAGAGCCCCGUCAGCCCCUUGGGGCGGCCUCGCCCUGCAGGGGGAAGUAUCCCUCCUGGGGAUUCCUGCCCACAGUUCUGCUCCAGCCACUCCAUGCCUGACGUCCAGGAGCACGUCAAGGACGGACCGCGGGCCCACACGUAUAAGCGUGAGGAGGGCUACAUCCUGGAUGACUCCCACUGCGUGGUUUCUGACAGCGAAGCGUAUCACCUGGGCCAGGAGGAGACAGACUGGUUUGAUAAGCCCCGCGAUGCCCGCUCUGACCGGUUCAGGCACCAUGGGGGCCACGCAGUCUCCUCCUCCCAGAAGCGAGGCCCUGCCAGGCACAGCUACCACGACUACGAUGAACCUCCUGAGGAGGGCCUAUGGCCUCAUGAUGAGGGUGGCCCAGGCCGCCAUACCUCAGCCAAGGAACACCGGCACCACAGUGACCACGGGAGGCACUCGGGCCGCCAUGCUGGUGAGGAGCCCGGUCGGCGUGCCGCCAAACCACAUGCUCGGGACCUGGGUCGCCACGAGGCCCGGCCUCACCCUCAGUCCAGCCCUGCCCCUGCCAUGCAAAAGAAGGGCCAGCCUGGGUACCCCAGCACCGCUGAAUACACACAGCCAUCCCGUGCUCCAUCAGCAUACCAUCAUGCCUCUGACAGCAAGAAGGGCUCCCGGCAGGCCCACUCUGGUCCUGCUGCCCAGCAGCCAAAGCCAGAUCCCCAGGCACAGCAGCAGCCUCAAGGUCGACAAGCAGCUCCAGGGCCGCAGCCGUCACAGCCGCCGCCGUCCCGGCAGAUGCCCUCAGGGGCCGCAUCACGCCAGCCACAGAUGCAGCAGCAACCGCAGCAACAGCAAGGCCUUGGGCAGCAGCCUCCCCAUCAGGUCCCAUCACAGGCUCGGAUGCAGCAGCAGAGCCAGCCAACCUCCCGGGGCCCGGCUCCUGCUGCCAGCCAGCCAGCAGGGAAACCUCAGGCAGGACCCACAACAGCCCCAGGCCCUCAGCCAGCAGGACUGCCACGGGCAGAACAGGCAAAUGGCUCUAAACCAACAGUCAAAGCACCCCAACAGGGGAGGACUCCUCAGACCCAGCCAACAUCGGGACCAGGACCUGCAGGUGUGAAGACUGGAGCUAGGCCUGGGGGGACCCCAGGGGCUCCUGCUGGCCAGCCAGGGGCCGAUGGGGAAAGUGUGCUUUCCAAGAUCCUCCCUGGUGGAGCAGCAGAGCAAGCCGGCAAGCUGACGGAAGCUGUCUCUGCUUUUGGCAAAAAAUUUUCUUCAUUCUGGUGAUUGUGCCCAGCAGGGCUCUUGAAGAGAUGAAGAGAAAUGAUAUCAUUGCUGUGGAAAAAUCUCUGGAGUCAAAAGCCUGGGCACAGCUCUGGACUCUGCGUAUAACACAUCUACAAUCUGGCAAACCCUUGGCCCAAAGACUCAUGCUAGGUGGACCGCAGCAGGCAGGCCUCGGCUGAGGAAAGGAUGUGUUCUAACAGCAGCUUCCUGGGUGAACCAUCUGUUGGACAAGUGGGACCACUGGCCUGGGGGGCCUUUGAUUGUCUUUCCAGAGACUCUGCCUUCUUCAGGUUAGCUGUCCUUGGGAGAAGAGCCCUCACCAGAAACCCAUCACGACUGUGGCUGUCAGCUGCUCUUCCCACAGCCUCCUUUCUGUGGUAUGGCCGGCCAGCCUUCCAGUGCGUUAUACACAGAGUUUGGGCUCACACUGCCCUCCCUCCAAGAUGCCAGAAGUUUUUCCACAGCCUUGGAGAGGGGCUUUGACUGAGGGCUGGGGGCCCUGGGCUCCGUUUCCUUCACAUUCCAGCUGGCCCAGAUCCCUCUGUGGCCAUAGAGCCCUGCCCCCUUCACCCUGCCCGCUGGGUGACAUUGGAGCAGAUCUCCAUGUGGCCAGCAUGGGUUUGGGAGAACUUUAUAAACAUUAGGACCUAACACUGUCUCACUGCUGAAAUAAGAGGCCAUAGCACCGAAAAGCAGCGUGGGCGCCGGCUGAGGCUUCUCCCAGCCCAUGGGUGGCAACAUGCUAGGCAUGCCUGCCACCAUCUUAAAGCCAUCCCCCAGCCAUCAUGAGCAUCCCAGCAGCACCGCCAUUGUCUGGACCAGCCGGCUCCUCGUCCGUACACCUGGGGAUUUCUUUUGAUUUCAAGAACAGCCUUAAUCAUUCCAGUUUGAUUUACAUGUAUACCUCAUGAACAUUUUUCGUUCAUUCUUUCUUUUUUCUUUCUCUCUUUUCUUUGCUCACUCCCCUGCCUCUCCCCUCCACCACCACCUUGUGACUGAUGGUUUGGUUUCCUCUCUGCUCUGCCCCUGCCCAGUACAGGGAGAAUGUCGACUUAGAAGCAAUAGGGGGCAGCAGGUCACCAAGAGCACAACCCCAGGGCGAGGUACAGGGAGGCUCCUCAGCCCACCUCUGUUUACUGUGCAAUUCCAGUCCUUCUUAAGCCAUCACCAGUGGGUGUGCUCAGAGCAGAGGGACCAGGGCUUCUGCCAGCCAAGGGAAAGGCUGAGAGCCCUGGGGUGUGUGUGUUGGCAGGGCAGGCGGGGAGGGGGGAGGGGAUGACUGUCCAUCCACCUGGUGGACUAGGCUACAUUCGUCCCCAAAGCUCUUGCCUUGGAGGCCUCCCUUCAUCUUGGGCACAGCCACAAGUCUCAUCUCUAAUGUUCUAUGCAAUGAAAUAUAAACCCUCAAAGACAACUGUUAAUAUUUAAUAAAUUCCAUGUUACAUAUAAGAAGUUAAUUGCAAACGUUGCAAUUGAGAAACUGGAUAGAUAAGCUCAUAUCACCACCCCACCCAACCCCAGCUCCCACCACGUGUUUGUAUGUGUGUGUGUGUGCGUGCGUGCACGUGUGUGUGUGUGCGUGUAUAAAAUUCUCAGUCUGUGGCAUGUUUGACCUGUGGCAGGACUCGCUGCUGCCAGGUGAGUCACCGCCUGUCUUGCAGUGGAGCAUGCACAGCUCGCAGCCUUUUUGCACGAUUUCAUCCAUUUUUAAAUGCUCAACCCUCUUGCUUGGAGUUCUUUUUGCCUCCAACCCUCUCCUUUAGGAGCACUUCUUGCUGACUUUUCUGCACAAGCUAGUGAGGACCUGCCAGAAUUUUUCCCUGAGUAGGCCAGGCCACAGGGCAAGCAGCAAGGCCCCACACACCUUGUUUUACCUGUGCAAGAUUAAGAUUUUAAAAAAAUAAUAAUAAUAACAAAAAAACCUUGGAAUAGACACAAUAGUAGGAGCUCACACAAGAUGCAUGUUUAUGGAAGUUCUGAAGGUUUGCCGUAGGAUUUUUCUAUGUGUAUGUCAUAUUCCCUUCCUACCCGAGCCUUAAGCCAGAAGCAUCUGGCUGUCCCUUCCCAGUGGAGGCAUUGCUCAAGGGUAGAGCUGGGAUGCGUCUAUGCUCAAGAGGGGCAGAGGCCAAGAGCAGAGCCUGGCUGUGUCCCAGGGUCCCCAAGGUACUGACUGAACAUGCUCUGCCUCUUCUUUGGCUGGGAGGCUCAGAGGACUGUGAGUCUAGAGAUCCGGGCUGGAACAGCGGAUCAGAGGAUGCUCAGGAAGAGCUGGGCCAAUUUGAGCACUUGUGGCCUUUGGCUAAAAAAGAACAUCUGAGCAACUGUUCACCUAAACGGUAGCUUCAAGAUGAGCCUCUUGGGAAGCUUCUCAGUAGCAAAACCUAUUGAAGGUCCUGUGUAAGCCUCUUCACACCUGUCCUCCAGGAUCUGCCUUCUCCACCUAGCCUGUUCUCUGAAGCCCAAGUCUAUCACAGUCAUCAGCUGCUCCCUCACGAACCAGGAGUGGGGCAGGCAGCGGCUGACUGAUCCUUCAAUGCUUGUCCUUCUUCCAGAGUGCUCUGGUUUGUAUCAUGCAUUUCUCAGGGGUCCACAUUUCUCAUGCUUUUCUAUGCGGCCUACACAUCUCUUUAAGGGGGGAGGGACCUCUAGCAGCUGGGGGUAGGACGGGAAGCUGCAAACCUGUGUUGAACUUAGGACCCUAGACUCCUGGGAUUUGGCCUUCCUCAUGUUAUAGGCGCAGCUGCCUCAUGUCAGAGAUCAAAGCCAGGGCUGUAUGAGGUCACCUGAGCAAGGGCUGAGGGAGGCCAUCACCUAGGAAGUCGAGCCACACAGCAACAAGUGUGUAUGGGAUGUGUCAAGUGUCUAGAUAGCCAGAGAUCAAGGCAGGAACCUUUUUCACUGAUCGCCAGGGGAUAGAACUAGGAGCCAAUCAGGGAGAUGCAGCAGAUUGACCUCUGACAGGCUCCACUUAAGUAUUAGCUUUUCAGCAAAAUUUCCUCUCUGACCAAAACUCUUAAGUGAGGAUGGCAUCAGUGGCCCUCCGGGUCACGAGUCUCCUGGCCCUUGUAUUGAUACAACAGUGACCCUGGGAGGAUUGUGAGCAGAGGCCUGAGGACCAGCAUUCACCGUCGGAGGAAGCAGCUAGCAGCAGGCACAUCUCCCAGUGGGUAAGAGGUCUCCUGGCUACCAUCCAGACCUCCUCCAUUUCCGUCUCCCUGGCAUUACAAGCAGUGGUACUGCCCUUGAGGCCCCAAUGCCCACUGAAGGCCCCAGUGCACUCACUUUAUAGUGACAGCCCCUCCUCUACCACCACCUUCCUACUCACCGGGCAGAGCAGGUGGUCUCAGUGCCCACAGUGAAAGGGCAGCGAGGGCCACAGCACUGGCCUGUCUGCUGGAGCCUGUAGGGGGUUUUCCAGGCAGAUCCUUUGCCAUGACAGUACAGUCCUGCCCUAUUGGCCUUUUCCUUCCCAUGCUGUAAAUACUUGUCAUUAUGGACUCCCAACAGGGUAAGAGGGACAGACCUAAUCUACUGAAACUCCCUGGAGAUUGCCAUUUCUGUCUCCCUGAGUGCCAGCACCCUGCUGCUACAUGCACUGGGGUGGCACUGGAGAGCCAUAGAAGUCGUGAGAUAUUGUAUGUGUAUGCACGUGUACAUGCGUGUGAGAGUGUGUGUGUGUGUGUGUGUAUGCAAGUGCGCGUGCCUCAUUCAGCCUCUGGGGUCACAUCAGCUCCUUCUCUCCAAGUGCAGCUCCCUGGAGAGUGAGUGGUAGCCACCCAACACCUUUCCCUCGAGCUUCCAUGUCUUGUUUUUGCUUUUCCUUCCCUCCUCCUUCCCUCUCUUUCCUUCUCUCCUUCUUUAUUUGAGGGGGGAAGAGUGCUGUACAAAGUCAAACAAACAAGUUUACAGUUGUAAGUGCAAUGAUCCGAGUCCUCCACAUGACCUUGUGAAUUGUGUGCCGUCCUCCUGUGCUCUGUGAGAACUCGUGGUAUUUCAGUGUCCCUCCCCUGUGUUGUGACAAGAUAUUUCUGUGGUAUCAGAAUAAAAGGACUUGAUAUAAACAACCUA